rnacentral:rRNA from 1 species
UUUGGAUGGGGAUAACGACUGGAAACGGUCGCUAAUACCCAAUAUGCCGAGAGGUGAAACUUAUAUGGCCAGAGGAUGAGCUCGCGUCUGAUUAGCUAGUUGGAGUGGUAACGGCACACCAAGGCGACGAUCAGUAGCUGGUCUGAGAGGAUGAUCAGCCACACUGGGACUGAGACACGGCCCAGACUCCUACGGGAGGCAGCAGUGGGGAAUUUUCCGCAAUGGGCGAAAGCCUGACGGAGCAAGACCGCGUGAGGGAGGAAGGCCUACUGGUUGUAAACCUCUUUUGAUAGGGAAGAAGAAAGUGACGGUACCUAUCGAAUCAGCAUCGGCUAACUCCGUGCCAGCAGCCGCGGUAAUACGGAGGAUGCAAGCGUUAUCCGGAAUUAUUGGGCGUAAAGCGUCCGUAGGUGGUUAUUCAAGUCAGCUGUCAAAGGAUGGAGCUUAACUCCAUAAAGGCAGUUGAAACUGUGUAGCUAGAGUGCGAUAGGGGCAAGGGGAAUUCCCAGUGUAGCGGUGAAAUGCGUAGAUAUUGGGAAGAACAUCGGUGGCGAAAGCGCCUGGCUGGGUCUGCACUGACACUGAGGGACGAAAGCUAGGGGAGCGAAAGGGAUUAGAUACCCCUGUAGUCC